rnacentral:rRNA from 1 species
AUUGAACGCUGGCGGCAGGCCUAACACAUGCAAGUCGAGCGGAUGAAGGGAGCUUGCUCCUGGAUUCAGCGGCGGACGGGUGAGUAAUGCCUAGGAAUCUGCCUGGUAGUGGGGGAUAACGUCCGGAAACGGGCGCUAAUACCGCAUACGUCCUGAGGGAGAAAGUGGGGGAUCUUCGGACCUCACGCUAUCAGAUGAGCCUAGGUCGGAUUAGCUAGUUGGUGGGGUAAAGGCCUACCAAGGCGACGAUCCGUAACUGGUCUGAGAGGAUGAUCAGUCACCCGGGAACUGAGACCCGGUCCAGGCCCCUACGGGAGGCAGCGGGGGGGAAUUUUGGCCAAUGGGCGAAAGCCUGACCCAGCCAUGCCGCGGGUGUGAAGAAGGUCUUCGGGUUGUAAAGCACUUUAAGUUGGGAGGAAGGGCAGUAAGUUAAUCCCUUGCUUUUUUGGCUUUACCAACAGAAUAAGCCCCGGCUAACUUCGU